GGGUGAAAUGGCAGUGGCGGAGCCAGCGACGGCCGCGGUCCCCGGGGGUGGCUGAUUGAAAGGGGCCGGGCCGCGGGGUUUGCGGGACCCUCGAGCAGACGUGACCGUGGGUCGGGGCAUCGGACGACACAGCGCAGGGACAGCGAGGCUCGGCGCGGCGAUGGAGGCGCUCUCGGCGCAGGUAGGGCGGCCCGAACCGGGCCUCUUCUCCUUGGGGGCGUCAGUGCUGCGGGGCCCCGCGGGGAAGCCAAACCAGGAGCGUGACCUGGGGUCGCCUCGCCUCCAGAAUCCACGCUGGGAGCCUUGGCAUUCCCAGUCCCGGACCCUGGAACUCCGGCCUCCGCCCACCCUCCUUCCCGAUCCCCUCAGGAUCCCUCCCAGGGCUCCUAAGACCCAGUGUCUCUUCGCGACGUCCCCCACAGGCUCAGGACCUCUGUACAUCUUUCCCAAGACUCCUCUGUUAGAAUCUGUCCAGGGCUUCCCCAUCCCCCAGUCUGCAGACCUGCCCCCCCCCACACACACACACCAUGAGCGUCUCCUUUCCAAUCCACAACCACCACCACCACCACCCCGAGUCCCAGGACCCCUCCCAUCUGCACAUCUCUUGCCUUUACAUCCCCCUAAACCUCCCACUUGGCUUCCUGUCUUCUGUGUCUGGCCUACACCCUCAUCCUCUCCAAGGAGACCAAGAUCAGAGCCCUAUACUCUUUCUUUCUGACUCCACAGAAACCCAUGCCUCACCUCUUAAACGGAAAGAUUCCCAACUGAAUCCAGAGACAUCAGCUCAGCCUGCUCACUUGGCACCCCUCCUGCUCAAGGGCUCCAAUAAAAACAAAAACAAAAAAAACAUCACUUCUAGUCUUCUGAGAAGACUAUACACUGUUGCUGAUCUUGAGCCAUCUAGAUGGCAUCUUCCUGAAGAAAUGAACACUCAGGACUUCCCAAAAGACCAAAAGAUAGUGCUGAAUCCCAUCCCCCAUAGACACACCCUCCCCAUCCAUCUUUCUGAUACAGAGUGGGGUCAUUUAGAUACCCCUAAAUAUACAGGAACCUAAGGGCCCAACCCAGACCCAGGCCCAUGAGUGCUCUCCCCCCCCCAUCUCUCUCUCUCUCUCUCUCUCUCUCUCUCACACACACACACACACACACACACACACACAUGAGAACUUCUAUACACCUUCUUGAGCCCAGUACCCUCAACAGACCUCCUAACUCAGACAAAAGACAGAAGAUUGUGAGGUGGCAAGCUCUGUCCCCAGCACCUAGCCUGUCCCUUCCACCCCAUUCUCUUUGAGUUGGGACUCCAGGGCGUGUCAGGGCCUAAGAUCUACCUACCACAAAUCUCUCCCCCCCCUCUCUCUUUCUUAUCCUUUUUAAUAGGAAGGACAUUCUUUCCUACACCAGUGUCCCAAAAGGAACCAGUGCCCAUCUCCAAAUCAAUGGCACCUCCCUAUACAUACCAUGGGGAGUGAGAUCUUCCAGCGGCUCCUGGCCCCAAUCCUAAAGUCUGACCAGACUGGUAGGACCAGCAUCCUUGAGCCUAUGGCAUCUGUUGGCCUCAGAUGAUAUAGACAGUGCUGCCAUCUAAGGUGCUCAUCAAGGCCAGUUUCUGAGAGCCCUGUGAGUUCUUUUACCCACCACCAAUGUUUGGUCAAAAUAAAACAGCUUCCUCCUAGCAUGUGGGAUCUGCUCAGACUGGGUCAGACCUGCCAAAAGCAAGCACCUCUUUAAGGAAUAUUUUCAGAAGGGUUAAAAUGUGAAGAAGACAGGGGGGGUGUGUGUGAAAGGAUGAGUGCUCUGAUUGACAACCCCCUCUGCUUGACACCCCCACUCCCAUAUACACCACUCCCAGCCAAUCUGUCAUUAAGCCAGACUCCCCACAUCCCUCACUCUUCAUGGUUGUAUUGUAUUGGUUCUCCCUACCAAUUCUGCCCCACAGCUCCCAUCCUAGGGUCCCACCUGUGGGUUCCCUCUGGAUUCCUGCGGUUGACUGUGGUGGUUUGGAAGGGAUCACAGGUAGCUUGGCCCCGGCACAAGACAGAGAGGAAAGAAGAGAUUGCAGAACUGGCUGUAGUUGUAGAACUAGGGAGUGUAAAGGAGAAUCCAGAACAAACCAGCUCCUAACAAGCAUUUGGUUAUGCCUGGAAAGACCCAGAUAAAAAGCCUAGGUUUCCUUGUAGAAUAUUUACAAACAAAUUCUGAACAGAUUUG
rnacentral:lncRNA from 1 species